rnacentral:rRNA from 1 species
AGUGAACGCUGGCGGUAGGCCUAACACAUGCAAGUCGAACGGCAGCACAGUAAGAGCUUGCUCUUACGGGUGGCGAGUGGCGGACGGGUGAGGAAUACAUCGGAAUCUACUUUUUCGUGGGGGAUAACGUAGGGAAACUUACGCUAAUACCGCAUACGACCUACGGGUGAAAGCAGGGGAUCUUCGGACCUUUCGCGAUUGAAUGAGCCGAUGUCGGAUUAGCUAGUUGGCGGGGUAAAGGCCCACCAAGGCGACGAUCCGUAGCUGGUCUGAGAGGAUGAUCAGCCACACUGGAACUGAGACACGGUCCAGACUCCUACGGGAGGCAGCAGUGGGGAAUAUUGGACAAAGGGCGAAAGCCUGAUCCAGCCAUACCGCGUGGGUGAAGAAGGCCUUCGGGUUGUAAAGCCCUUUUGUUGGGAAAGAAAAGCAGCAGGUUAAUACCCCGCUGUUCUGACGGUACCCAAAGAAUAAGCACCGGCUAACUUCGUG